AGGAGAUCAGUAAACAACAGAACGUAUGGUGCUAGAAUGGAGAGGAGAUCAGUAAACAACAGAACGUAUGGUGCUAGAAUGGAGAGGUUGCCAUGCCGACGAAAGAGAAGGUGUUUUCAUUCUGUAACAAGGCCUUCACUUCAGUCUGGAUGGCUGGUUGACUGCAGACAGGUUACACAGUAUCAGUGGAGGUGUUAGGCUGUUUCUGCUCUCCUCCCAACUACUAAUGGAAUUGUCCUGCCAAUGCAACGUAUGAAAAUGUAUCCAGUCACUACUGUAAGUCUCUCUGGAUAAGAGCGUCUGAUAAAUGACUCACAUGUUCAAUGUAAUGUUCAGUUUGACAAUAUCAAUGGAAUAGACCAAAGCAGAGCCAUGUAUUUAGAUAUGAACAGAUAUCGCGAUUGAGGAUCAUGUCAGUAUUUAGCUACGUUAUUAGCUGUUUUGCUCACCAAAGGUGUAACAAAGUGAAACUGUGUUGACGUCAAAGCCUCAGUUCCGGGAGAGUAGUGGGUGAAACCAUUCACCUCGGAAAAAGGGGUGAUAUAAAUAAAGUUUCCUUUCAUUAUG